rnacentral:rRNA from 1 species
GUGAGUAACGCGUGGGCAACCUGCCUUAAAGACUGGGAUAACAUCCUGAAAGGGGUGCUAAUACCGGGUGUGAUCUACAUGCCGCAUGGCAAGUAGAAGAUAGGAGUAAUCCGCUUUAAGAUGGGCCCGCGUCUGAUUAGCUAGUUGGUAGGGUAACGGCCUACCAAGGCGACGAUCGGUAGCCGACCUGAGAGGGUGAACGGCCACACUGGGACUGAGACACGGCCCAGACUCCUACGGGAGGCAGCAGUCGGGAAUAUUGGGCAAUGGACGAAAGUCUGACCCAGCAAUGCCGCGUGAGUGAUGAAGGUCUUCGGAUCGUAAAGCUCUGUCUUUGGGGACGAAGAAAGUGACGGUACCCAAGGAGGAAGCCCCGGCUAACUACGUGCCAGCAGCCGCGGUAAUACGUAGGGGGCGAGCGUUGUCCGGAAUUACUGGGCGUAAAGGGCGAGUAGGCGGCUUGACAAGUCAGAUGUGAAAUACCAGGGCUUAACCUUGGUACUGCAUUUGAAACUGUCAGGCUUGAGUACAGGAGAGGAAAGUGGAAUUCCCAGUGUAGCGGUGAAAUGCGUAGAUAUUGGGAGGAACACCAGUGGCGAAGGCGACUUUCUGGACUGUAACUGACGCUGAGGCGCGAAAGCGUGGGGAGCAAACAGGAUUAGAUACCCU